GUUCGAACGAACUUUGGUAUUGAUUGGUGCUUGCAUCAUGAUUUACAUUUGAGUGAGUGGCGAACUGGUGAGUAACACGUGGGAAACCUGCCCAGAAGCGGGGGAUAACACCUGGAAACAGAUGCUAAUACCGCAUAACAACUUGGACCGCAUGGUCCGAGUUUGAAAGAUGGCUUCGGCUAUCACUUUUGGAUGGUCCCGCGGCGUAUUAGCUAGAUGGUGGGGUAACGGCUCACCAUGGCAAUGAUACGUAGCCGACCUGAGAGGGUAAUCGGCCACAUUGGGACUGAGACACGGCCCAAACUCCUACGGGAGGCAGCAGUAGGGAAUCUUCCACAAUGGACGAAAGUCUGAUGGAGCAACGCCGCGUGAGUGAAGAAGGGUUUCGGCUCGUAAAACUCUGUUGUUAAAGAAGAACAUAUCUGAGAGUAACUGUUCAGGUAUUGACGGUAUUUAACCAGAAAGCCACGGCUAACUACGUGCCAGCAGCCGCGGUAAUACGUAGGUGGCAAGCGUUGUCCGGAUUUAUUGGGCGUAAAGCGAGCGCAGGCGGUUUUUUAAGUCUGAUGUGAAAGCCUUCGGCUCAACCGAAGAAGUGCAUCGGAAACUGGGAAACUUGAGUGCAGAAGAGGACAGUGGAACUCCAUGUGUAGCGGUGAAAUGCGUAGAUAUAUGGAAGAACACCAGUGGCGAAAGCGGCUGUCUGGUCUGUAACUGACGCUGAGCUCGAAAGUAUGGGUAGCAACAGAUUAGAUACCCUGGUAGUCCAUACCGUAACGAUGAUGCUAGUGUUGGAGGGUUUCGCCCUUCAUUGCUGCAGCUACGCAUAGCAUCCGCCUGGGGGAGUACGCGCAAGCUGAAACUCUAAAGGAAUUUGACGGGGGGC
rnacentral:rRNA from 2 species